rnacentral:rRNA from 1 species
GAUGAACGCUGGCGGCGUGCCUAAUACAUGCAAGUCGAGCGAAUGGAUUAAGAGCUUGCUCUUAUGAAGUUAGCGGCGGACGGGUGAGUAACACCUGGGUAACCUGCCCAUAAGACUGGGAUAACUCCGGGAAACCGGGGCUAAUACCGGAUAACAUUUUGAACCGCAUGGUUCGAAAUUGAAAGGCGGCUUCGGCUGUCACUUAUGGAUGGACCCGGGUCGCAUUAGCUAGUUGGUGAGGUAACGGCUCACCAAGGCAACGAUGCGUAGCCGACCUGGGAGGGUGAUCGGCCACACUGGGACUGAGACACGUCCCAGACUCCUACGGGAGGCAGCAGUAGGGAAUCUUCCGCAAUGGACGAAAGUCUGACGGAGCAACGCCGCGUGAGUGAUGAAGGCUUUCGGGUCGUAAAACUCUGUUGUUAGGGAAGAACAAGUGCUAGUUGAAUAAGCUGACACCUUGACGGUACCUAACCAGAAAGCCACGGCUAACUACGUGCCAGCAGCCGCCGUAA